rnacentral:rRNA from 1 species
CGAAGGGUGCAAGCGUUACUCGGAAUUACUGGGCGUAAAGCGUGCGUAGGUGGUUCGUUAAGUCUGCCGUGAAAGCCCCGGGCUCAACCUGGGAAUGGCGGUGGAUACUGGCGGACUAGAGUGCGGUAGAGGGUGGUGGAAUUCCCGGUGUAGCAGUGAAAUGCGUAGAGAUCGGGAGGAACAUCUGUGGCGAAGGCGGCCACCUGGACCAGCACUGACACUGAGGCACGAAAGCGUGGGGAGCAAACAGGAUU